UACGUAGGCAGCAAGCGUUGUUCGGAGUUACUGGGCGUAAAGAGUGCGUAGGCGGUCUUUUAAGUUUGGUGUGAAAUCUCCCGGCUCAACUGGGAGGGUGCGCCGAAAACUGGAAGGCUUGAGGAUGGGAGAGGCAUGCGGAAUUCCUGGUGUAGCGGUGAAAUGCGUAGAUAUCAGGAGGAACACCUGCGGUGUAGACAGCAUGCUGGACCAUUUCUGACGCUGAGGCACGAAAGCGUGGGUAG
rnacentral:rRNA from 1 species